GAUGAACGCUGGCGGCGUGCUUAACACAUGCAAGUCGAACGAUGAAGCCCAGCUUGCUGGGUGGAUUAGUGGCGAACGGGUGAGUAACACGUGAGUAACCUGCCCUUAACUCUGGGAUAAGCCUGGGAAACUGGGUCUAAUACCGGAUAGGAGCGUCCACCGCAUGGUGGGUGUUGGAAAGAUUUAUCGGUUUUGGAUGGACUCGCGGCCUAUCAGCUUGUUGGUGAGGUAAUGGCUCACCAAGGCGACGACUGGUAGCCGGCCUGAGAGGGUGACCGGCCACACUGGGACUGAGACACGGCCCAGACCCCUACGGGAGGCAGCAGUGGGGAAUAUUGCACAAUGGGCGCAAGCCUGAUGCAGCGACGCCGCGUGAGGGAUGACGGCCUUCGGGUUGUAAACCUCUUUCAGUAGGGAAGAAGCGAAAGUGACGGUACCUGCAGAAGAAGCACCGGCUAACUACGUG
rnacentral:rRNA from 1 species